AGGGAUUCCCUCAGUAAGGGCGACUGAAAUGGGAAGAGCCCAGCGCAUAAGCUCGUCUUGCUCUUCACCGGGCACGAGCGGUGUUGCGUUUCGGAGGGUCCGGCACGCCGCCUUACGACGCCUAAGUCAUGCUUGAACGCGGCCACUACCCAUGGAGGGUGAAAGGCCCGUCUGGCGGAGCCCGCAAGGGCAUAAGUGAGGCGGUCGGAAAGGACCUUUCCGUAGAGUCGGGUUGCUUGAGAGUGCAGCCCAAAGCAGGUGGUAAACUCCAUCUAAGGCUAAAUAUGACCAAGAGA
rnacentral:rRNA from 1 species